UUCCAGACUCCUACGGGAGGCAGCAGUGGGGAAUAUUGCACAAUGGGGGAAACCCUGAUGCAGCGACGCCGCGUGAGUGAAGAAGUAUUUCGGUAUGUAAAGCUCUAUCAGCAGGGAAGAAAAUGACGGUACCUGACUAAGAAGCCCCGGCUAACUACGUGCCAGCAGCCGCGGUAAUACGUAGGGGGCAAGCGUUAUCCGGAUUUACUGGGUGUAAAGGGAGCGUAGGCGGGGAUGCAAGUUGGGUGUCAAAACUAUCGGCUCAACCGAUAGUCGCACUCAAAACUGCAGCUCUUGAGUGAAGUAGAGGCAGGCGGAAUUCCUAGUGUAGCGGUGAAAUGCGUAGAUAUUAGGAGGAACACCAGUGGCGAAGGCGGCCUGCUGGACGAUGACUGACGUUGAGGCUCGAAAGCGUGGGGAGCAAACAGGAUUAGAUACCCUCGUAG
rnacentral:rRNA from 1 species